rnacentral:lncRNA from 1 species
GUGAGAAAGCACUUGGCACAGGAUGUAUAGCUCUUCUGACAAGCAUACUGGUACUUACAUUUCUCAUGCUACCCACCCAUUGCUCAGUGUUCAGCUUUCAUCCUGCCCAGCUCUGUGAUUAUCACUCCUUCACAGCCCGUUCCUGUGUUCAGUGACCCCACUGGACUUGGAAGAAAAGUGGAAGGAAUGUACACAGUGGAACUCUAAAAAGGAGGUUCUGUUUGGCUCCCCACUUGAGGAUGCAUUUGAAGACAAAAGACAUAUAUGGCAUGAGAUAACUCUGGGAGCUACAUGCAGAUGGAAGCCACUCAGAAGAGCUGUGUGUGAUUUUGUGGCCCUGCCUCCAUACUUAUCUCUGCAGUAAAAUUAAAUCCAUGUUUUGAGAAGAUCCUUCUGGAAUAUUUAGAAUGACUCCUGCUAGAAUUAGAUAAUCAAAGAUACCAUGCUUUGACAGUCUAUACUGAAGUACAAAAGUACCUUUGAUGUAUUUCAAGCCUGUCCAGAUAGUAAUUAUUCAGACAUCUCAUAGGUUUCAUAUUAAAGCCAUAACAUUGUGGCUUUUUCUGAUUUGCUGUGCCCAUACAGAGUUGUCAAAAUUAUAAUACUACUUCUGUGCUAAAUCUGCUGCUCUGGGUAGCCCUGCUGCAGACAGGUCUGGGCCCGAUGUACCCUGCAACCUUGGCCAUCCUGGGUUUCUUUGGACCUCUACUUUUGAUCACUAUCAGUGAUAGAGCUUUGGUGUGACCCUGUGCAUUUAUUUUCCAGAUACCCUGUAUGAAGGGACACCAGCCUUUGUUAGCUCAUAGGUGCUGCCAUGUAUAAAUAGCAAUUAAAUGAUUAAUAAUAGAUGCUUCAUGACUUUUCACUUCUAAAGUUUUUAUUUAUCAAGGUUUUAUUUAUCAUUCUAAGGGAAUAAAAUAGAACAUCCAUGAAAGCA